rnacentral:rRNA from 1 species
UUGAAUGGCUCAGUGAGGCCUUCGGACUGGCCCAGGGAGGUCGGCAACGACCACCCAGGGCCGGAAAGUCGGUCAAACUCGGUCAUUUAGAGGAAGUAAAAGUCGUAACAAGGUCUCCGUAGGUGAACCUGCGGAGGGAUCAUUA